GAUCAUGGCUCAGGAUGAACGCUGGCGGCGUGCUUAACACAUGCAAGUCGAACGAAGCACUUUAACCUGAUUCUUCGGAUGAAGGUUUUUGUGACUGAGUGGCGGACGGGUGAGUAACGCGUGGGUAACCUGCCUCAUGCAGGGGGAUAACAGUUAGAAAUGACUGCUAAUACCGCAUAAGACCACGGAGUCGCAUGGCUCAGUGGGAAAAACUCCGGUGGUAUGAGAUGGACCCGCGU
rnacentral:rRNA from 1 species